UGUAUACAUAAUGGAUAGAAACUGAUCAAAAACCCGUGCUAAAGGUUAAGCAAUUUAUAAUUCCUAUAUUAUCGUCUUUGUUUGCUUUGCUAUUCAGAUCAGGCAUAUUGCAAAAUCUGACUGAAGAAAGAUAUAACUACGGAGUGACUAUUUCGUUCCAAGAUCACCAUUAGUCAAUUGAACUUCACCAGGGCCGCUACAUGAACAGCAUAUUAAACGGACAAAAUAUACACAGUAAGCAGCUACAAUGGUCAUCUCCGACGAAAGGAACCAGUGCAUCAAGUCUGACCUCUGUCGAGCAAAGGGAGAUCCACGUGCUCCAUUUGACAAGCAGCUGACGAUUGCCGCUUGUGAACUUAUCCAUGACCUUGCGGUGGAAUAUGUGUUGAAAACAAUUUGAAAAACCCAUGUAAUUCUGUAGCGUGUGUUAAGACUUUUAUAUUGUAAAUUUUCUAUAAA